AGCGAACGCUGGCGGCAGGCCUAACACAUGCAAGUCGAACGAAGCCUUCGGGCUUAGUGGCGGACGGGUGAGUAACACGUGGGAACGUACCUUUUGGUUCGGAAUAACGCAGAGAAAUUUGCGCUAAUACCGAAUGAGCCCUUCGGGGGAAAGAUUUAUCGCCGAAAGAUCGGCCCGCGUUGGAUUAGGUAGUUGGUGUGGUAAAGGCGCACCAAGCCUACGAUCCAUAGCUGGUCUGAGAGGAUGAUCAGCCACACUGGGACUGAGACACGGCCCAGACUCCUACGGGGGGCAGCAGUGGGGAAUCUUGCGCAAUGGGCGAAAGCCUGACGCAGCCAUGCCGCGUGAAUGAUGAAGGUCUUAGGAUUGUAAAUUCUUUUACCAGGGACGAUAAUGACGGUACCUGGAGAAAAAGCCCCGGCUAACUUCGUGCCAGCCGCCGCUGUAAUAC
rnacentral:rRNA from 1 species